rnacentral:rRNA from 1 species
GGCGAACGCUGGCGGUAGGCCUAACACAUGCAAGUCGAACGGCAGCACAGUAAGAGCUUGCUCUUACGGGUGGCGAGUGGCGGACGGGUGAGGAAUACAUCGGAAUCUACUUUUUCGUGGGGGAUAACGUAGGGAAACUUACGCUAAUACCGCAUACGACCUACGGGUGAAAGCAGGGGAUCUUCGGACCUUGCGCGAUUGAAUGAGCCGAUGUUGGAUUAGCUAGUUGGCGGGGUAAAGGCCCACCAAGGCGACGAUCCGUAGCUGGUCUGAGAGGAUGGUCAGCCGCCUUGGAGCGGAGACAGCGUCCAUGCUCCUGCGGGAGGCAGCAGUGGGGAAUAUGGGACAAUGGGGGCAAACCUUGUCCAGCCAUACCGCGUGGGUGGAGAAGGCGUUCGGGUUGGAAAGCCCUUUUGUUGGGAAAGAAAAGCAGCAGGUUAAUACCCCGCUGUUCUGACGGUACCCAAAGAAUAAGCACCGGCUAACUUCGUG